rnacentral:rRNA from 1 species
UACGGAGGGUGCAAACGUUGCUCGGAAUCAUUGGGCGUAAAGCGCACGUAGGCGGCUCGUUAAGUCGGAUGUGAAAGCCCUGGGCUCAACCCAGGAAGUGCAUACGAAACUGGCGAGCUUGAGUAUGGAAGAGGGUCGCGGAAUUCCCGGUGUAGAGGUGAAAUUCGUAGAUAUCGGGAGGAACACCAGUGGCGAAGGCGGCGACCUGGGCCAAUACUGACGCUGAGGUGCGAAAGCGUGGAGAGCAAACAGG